rnacentral:rRNA from 1 species
CCUACGGGGGGCAGCAGUGAGGAAUAUUGGUCAAUGGACGAGAGUCUGAACCAGCCAAGUAGCGUGAAGGAUGACUGCCCUAUGGGUUGUAAACUUCUUUUAUAUGGGAAUAAAAUGUUCCACGUGUGGGCUUUUGUAUGUACCAUAUGAAUAAGGAUCGGCUAACUCCGUGCCAGCAGCCGCGGUAAUACGGAGGAUCCGAGCGUUAUCCGGAUUUAUUGGGUUUAAAGGGAGCGUAGGUGGAUUGUUAAGUCAGUUGUGAAAGUUUGCGGCUCAACCGUAAAAUUGCAGUUGAAACUGGCAGUCUUGAGUACAGUAGAGGUGGGCGGAAUGCGUGGUGUAGCGGUGAAAUGCUUAGAUAUCACGAAGAACUCCGAUUGCGAAGGCAGCUCACUGGACUGAAACUGACACUGAGGCUCGAAAGUGUGGGUAUCAAACAGGAUUAGAUACCCGUGUAGUC